rnacentral:lncRNA from 1 species
UCUCUCUCUCUCUCUCGUAGAAUUUAUUUAUAGACAAGGAAGUCGAGCAUCCAAACAAUCUCUUAAAAUCUAGGCUAAUAUAUUAUUCCUUUGGAGAACUUAUUCAAAUAUAAUAUUUUCGGACAUCCAAAUAGGCCCUUAAACCGGACUAUUCUUCCCCAACAUCCAACUAGUCGGAAUUAUCCACACAAAGCAACCUCUCUUUCCGAAUCCAGAGGAAGCUGAUUCAUUUUAGCUUCGUUGCCUUAUUUUUUUCCCAUACAUGUGAUGCUGGCCGCUGCCAUUCUAGUUUUCCAAAUGACCGUUGACAAAACAGAGAAGAUGUAUGGAUUUACUCAAAACAAGCGCCGAAAAUGCUUGAACAAAUUAUAAAUAAAAUAUUAGGC